rnacentral:misc_RNA from 1 species
AACACCUAACAUUACCUUUCGGCCAGCAAAUCUUUCUUUCAAAUCUUUGAUAUGAUCCUGGACUUGCGGGGCCUCUAGUGCUCUUAUGAAACGAUCAGAAUCUAUCCCUAUAGGGAAAGCAGCAACUCGAGUCAGCCUCCCUUGAUCCUCAACUCCUUCAGGUGUGCCCUCCAGUUCAAGAAUACGAGUACAAGCGCUAACAAAAUGCCUUGCAUAGUCAUAGGUGUGAAAUCCGACUAAAUCAGCAGCAAGAACUGAACGCAGUAGCUCUGAUCUAGAUGGAAGUGUCCUAUGGAUUUCAGAAGAAGGAAAGGGUGUGUGGAGAAACCAACCAACUUUCAUAUUACU